CGAGUAUGAAGAAGACAAAGAUGACGAUUGGAGGCUAGCGUGGGCUGUUCCCUUUUGGUCAAGUGCGGCAUAUUCAUUUGUAAAUAUACUUGUAUAUAGCUUCUCAUCUGCGUCU
rnacentral:lncRNA from 1 species